rnacentral:rRNA from 1 species
UACGGGGGGGGCAAGCGUUGUUCGGAAUUACUGGGCGUAAAGGGCGCGUAGGCGGCCUUCUAAGUCGAACGUGAAAUCCCCGGGCUCAACCCGGGAACUGCGUCCGAUACUGGAAGGCUUGAAUCCGGGAGAGGGAUGUGGAAUUCCAGGUGUAGCGGUGAAAUGCGUAGAUAUCUGGAGGAACACCGGUGGCGAAGGCGACAGCCUGGACCGGUAUUGACGCUGAGGCGCGAAAGCCAGGGGAGCAAACGGG